GUGAGUGCAGCAGUAGAUCUGCAGGUCUUCAAUCACCAGGAUUACAAACAAUCAAGGAGAGUAAGAGUAUGGCCUCACAGUGCUUGUAGCUCUUAUAACACAAGAGCAGAAGUAUUUAUUUGGUGUUUCACUGUGUGGAGAGGUGGAUCAUCCAGUGGAGAGAGAUUUGAGUUAGUUCUUGAGAAAAUGAGCUUUCAGCCCUGCAGCAGAAACUUGGAAUGACAUCUUUUGGAGAUAGAGGGAAUAAGCGAGCAAUAUCUCCCCCAAAAGCACAACAACAAAUAUAAUCUUGAUUCUCAUGAAGGGAUGUAGGGAGGUCUGGCUGGAUGUAAUUCCCUCUGCUAUGCUGUUGGCCAGAACUCCUGGGGUCUUUGCUGGUCCUGUGGAGAAGAUCCAGUUUUGUCUCCUCAGCUGACUUAAGGACCUCAAGUUUCUGUGGCUGAAACCUGCACGCCAGGGGCAGCGCUGGCUGGUCACCAUGGUAAUGAUGGCACCACUUGGUUGAGGAGGUCAAUCCCUGGUCAACAGGCAUAACAGUGUCUCAGGCAUGACGAUGAUGGCUCAGUAAGUGUUAAUGUCCUCUCAUUGGUUUUUAACAAAGAUAUUCAUGCUUUCAUUUCACCCACUGAGCUGAAGUUGUUAUGCAGAGGGACUAAGUGCAGCAACAGAGUAAGUUUAAUUUCUAAAAUAAUCAAAUUCAAAGUAACUAAUCAUACAGAGGGUAUAUUAUCUCGUAGUUAUUGUAUUCCUACAACCUCAGCAUGAUGAUGUGGGAAACAGAUACUGGGAGCAAAGUAGAUAAAAUGAAAUCAGGAGAGACAUGAGGGGGAUUUUUUAUAGUUUAGUAGAGAGAAGGCAUAUGACUCAACACUUAAGCAAAUAAGAUAGUGUAGUAAAAUAUAACACUGAUAAGCGGUUUAAUAAUUCAGUUUGAAUAAAAAAUAAUCUAAUAUUUCUAUCAACAGUUAAAAUGAUUGAGUUAUAUUAAAUUAGUCUACAACUAACAUUAAAUAAUUGCCCUAUGUGCUCAUAUAACAUGUGCUACAACCAAACUCAGGACCAAAACAAGGACAGAGAAUGAAAACCAAAACUUCGCCCCCACCACCUCUCUCCCAGCCAACACACACAAACACUCCUGAGUCACACACACACAAGAGCUCUGUAUUCAGCACUGCCAGCAAAGCUACAGUAGGACAGUCAGUCAUCUGCUCCUAAACUGAUUAGAAUGAGAGAGAGAGAGAGAGUGAGAGUGAGGGGCAGAUUCCUGAGGCUUGGGUGAGCGAAACAGAGCACAGAGUCUGACACAGAAAGGAAAAUAGCAGAUCCCAGCACUCUGACGGGUGAGUGUGACGGACACGUCACACGCGGGUCAAAGUCAAGCUUGCGGAAAUAUCAGGUGAGGAGGGAAAAGGAAAAGACAACAUGUAGGCCCCUGUAAACAGAAACUCAAAGCAAACAUUACCUAACUUUUAUACAGGAAGAGAAACAGGACCGCACUUAAUGAUAGCAGGGUUACAUAUAAACAUGUGGUGGAUAAUGAUAUUUAACUGAACAAGGAGGAGGGGUCCUUCUCCAAUGUGAAGUAGGAGACUUAGAGAAGGACGAGGGAGGUAUCUGUGGCAUUCAACCCCUCCAGACCUGCUGGGCUGGUUUCUGGGUCAUUAAAAUUCCUCCUCUCCUCUCCUCUCCUCACUUCUCCUCUCCGAAGCCACAGUUUCUGCCCCAAGCGACAUGCUGGCUCAUGUCCACCCGCUCGGCCUCUACUCCUCUCCUCUCCUCCACCUUCUCUCUCUCUCUGUUAUCUCCCUGCUGCAGAGCACACUGCUCUCGCUGUGAGUCAGGAAGACAAAUUUCUAUAGAAAUUUGCUCUCUGUGUUGUAGUGGCUGCCUUGUGUUCCCCUCUGUGUCACCCCCUUCUUCCUCCUUUGUUUUCCACAUCUAGAUGUGAUCACAAUAAAUCCUCUUUGACGGCACAGAUCUAGACAGUCAUCCCUCAUCUUUGUCUCCCUUCACUCCCUUCCAACUUUGUUCCCCCCCCCCUCAACUCACCUUCCUCUCCUCGGUGUCUGCUUGCUCUCUCUCCAGUGAAGCGUGUAAGGCGGUAUUCUCUGGAGUGUCACUUCUGUUCAAUUCUGAGAUGAUGAAGCAAACAAAGUAAACGUCAAACCUGCCCAGACUCCUUACCACUUGUUUAAGUAGCCCCUGCCAGCAACAGCAACCACAACAAAAACAGCCAUGACCUGACUAAAAUAUGUACAGGCAACCUGAGCUUCCAAGCAUUUCCAAAUGUCACCUACACAACGGAGAAAACAACAACAACAACAAGCACUACUACAACAGCCUAUGGCUCUGCUGGAGAAGCUAUUACAUAUUGAAAUUAAAUUGCGGAAUACA